rnacentral:rRNA from 1 species
AGAGUUUGAUUAUGGCUCAGGAUGAACGCUGGCGGCGUGCCUAACACAUGCAAGUCGAACGGAAAGUAAGCGCUUCGGAGACUUCGGUCAAUGUUUGCUUGCUUUAGUGGCGGACGGGUGAGUAACGCGUGGAUAACCUGCCGUAUACAGGGGGAUAACAGUUAGAAAUGACUGCUAAUACCGCAUAAGCGCACAGUCUCGCAUGGGACAGUGUGAAAAACUCCGGUGGUAUACGAUGGAUCCGCGUCUGAUUAGCCAGUUGGCGGGUAACGGCCCACCAAAGCGACGAUCAGUAGCCGGCCUGAGAGGGUGAACGGCCACAUUGGGACUGAGACACGGCCCAAACUCCUACGGGAGGCAGCAGUGGGGGAUAUUGCACAAUGGGGGAAACCCUGAUGCAAGCGACGCCGCGUGAGUGAAGAAGUAUUUCGGUAUGUAAAGCUCUAUCAGCAGGGAAGAUAAUGACGGUACCUGACUAAGAAGCACCGGCUAAAUACGUGCCAGCCGCCGC